UUUUUUAUUGAGUGUAGAUAUUGUUUUUUUACACCUCAAUAUACGUGUUAAAAAGUCAAACAUCAGUUAAAAUGGGACAGAGAGAGUACUAGAGUGAGGGUUAUGGUUAUGUUUAGUUUUAGGAUUAUGUUAUAUUUAGUUUUAGGGUUAGGUUAGGGUUAUGGUUAUGUUUAGUUUCAAAAGUAAAAUAACCAUAGCCCGAGCCUAACCUUAGCUUUUGAAAUGCGAAAUACUAGAGUCAGGGUUAUGGUUAUGUUUAAUUUUAAGAUUAGGUUAUGUUUAGUUUUUGGGUUAGGUUAGGGUUAUGGUUAUGUUUAGUUUCAAAAGUAAAAUAACCAUAACCCUAGCCUAACCCUAACUUUUGAAAUUUGAAGUACUAGAGUGAGGGUUAUGGUUAUGUGUAGUUUUAGGAUUAGGUUAUGUUUAGUUUUAGGGUUAUGGUUAUGUUUAGUUUCAAAAGUAAAAUAACCAUAACCCUAGCCAACCCUAGCUUUUGAAAUUCGAAGUACUAGAGUUAGGGUUAUGUUAUGUUUAGUUUUAGGAUUAGGUUAUGUUUAGUUUUAGGGUUAGGUUAGGGUUAUGGUUAUGUUUAGUUUCAAAAGUAAAAUAACCAUAACCCUAGCCUAACACUAACUUUUGAAAUGCGAAGUACUAGAGUGAGGGUUAUGGUUAUGUUUAGUUUUAGGAUUAGGUUAUGUUUAGUUUUAGGGUUAGGUUAGGGUUAUGGUUAUGUUUAGUUUCAAAAGUAAAAUAACUAUAACCCUAGCCUAACGCUAGCUUUUGAAAUGCAAAGUAAUAGAGUGAGGGUUAUGGUUAUGUUUAGUUUUAGGAUUAGGUUAUGUUUAGUUUUAGGGUUAGGUUAGGGUUAUGGUUAUGUUUAGUUUAAAAAGUAAAAUAACCAUAACUCGAGCCUAACCCUAACUUUUGAAAUGCGAAGUACUAGAGUGUGGGUUAUGGUUAUGUUUAGUUUAGGAUUAGGUUAUGUUUAGUUUUUGGGUUAGGUUAGGGUUAUGGUUAUGUUUAGUUUCAAAAGUAAAAUAACCAUAACCCUAGCCUAACUCUAGCUUUUGAAAUGCGAAGUACUAGAGUGAGGGUUAUGGUUAUGUUUAGUUUUAGGAUUAGGUUAUGUUUAGUUUUAGGGUUAGGUUAGGGUUAUGGUUAUGUUUAGUUUCAAAAGUAAAAUAACCAUAACCCUAGCCUAACCCUAGCUUUUGAAAUGCAAAGUACUAGAGUGAGGGUUAUGGUUAUGUUUAGUUUUAGGAUUAGGUUAUGUUUAGUUUUAGGGUUAGGUUAGGGUUAUGGUUAUGUUUAGUUUCAAAAGUAAAAUAAUCAUAACCCUAGCUUUUGAAAUGCGAAGUACUAGAGUGAGGGUUAUGGUUAUGUUUAGUUUUAGGAUUAAGUUAUGUUUAGUUUUGGGGUUAGGUUAGGGUUAUGGUUAUGUUUAGUUUCAGAAGUAAACCUAACCAUAACCCUAACUUAACCCUAACUUUUGAAAUGUGAAGUACUAGAGUUUAGGGUUUAAGGUUUAAGAAGGUUUCUGCAAAGAGAAUAGUAGAAAUCAUUUACUUUUACAAAAAAGGAAGCUAGAUUAUUUAAGUGCGAUGAUGCAUGCAAAUUGUAUUAAUAUAUAAUUACGUGUAUGAAGAAUAGGAUCAAUUAUCUAUGGUUUAUCCUCAAAUGAAUUUCACAAUGAACCAUAUAUUGUAGAGAUCUUUGCUCUGAAUAUCUUGAAUCUAAUUUUUACUACUUACUCCUAGGUGUCUAUUAUAACUGGCAUAUUCAUACUCCAAAAUAAGGCUGUGGACCAACCCCAAAGGGGUGCUGCUAACGACAUUGCCAUGACUGCAGUGCAAUGUCACUUCUCAAAGCGAUCCAGCAGGUGGAGGGGCACUGUACUCAGAUAGUUUUCUUCUUCUUGAAUGUAGUCGAAGCAAUCGGAAUUGCAUUGACGUUCGAACCAUUUCUUGUUUUACGGCAACCUUGAAAAUCAGUUUUGUAGGGAAUGUAACAUUAUAGUUUGGAUCAAUUUUAGCAGGACUAGCAGUUGCAAAUCAAUAUAUGAUCAGAUUUUACUUAUA